GCCAGCCUGGCAUAGUGAUUCGAGUGCUGGACUAUGACUCUGGAGACCAGGGUUCAAAUCCCUGCUUGUCU